AUACGGAGGGUGCAAGCGUUAAUCGGAAUUACUGGGCGUAAAGCGUACGUAGGCGGUUCGUUAAGUUAGAUGUGAAAGCCCCGGGCUUAACCUGGGAACUGCAUUUAAAACUGGCGGACUCGAGUUGAGUAGAGGGGAGUGGAAUUUCAGGUGUAGCGGUGAAAUGCGUAGAGAUCUGAAGGAACACCAGUGGCGAAGGCGACUCCCUGGACUCGAACUGACGCUGAGGUACGAAAGCGUGGGUAGCAAACGGGAUUAGAAACCCCAGUAGUCC
rnacentral:rRNA from 1 species